rnacentral:rRNA from 1 species
UACGUAGGGGGCAAGCGUUGUCCGGAUUUAUUGGGCGUAAAGAGCGUGUAGGCGGCCACACAGGUCAGCUGUGAAAACUCGAGGCUCAACCUCGAGACGUCGGUUGAAACCGUAUGGCUAGAGUCCGGAAGAGGAGAGUGGAAUUCCCGGUGUAGCGGUGAAAUGCGCAGAUAUCGGGAAGAACACCCAUGGCGAAGGCAGCUCUCUGGGACGGUACUGACGCUGAGACGCGAAAGCGUGGGGAGCGAACAGG